UACGAGGGGUGCAAGCGUUGCUCGGAAUUAUUGGGCGUAAAGGGUAGGUAGGUGGUCUCAUUUGUCUGGGGUGAAAGCCUUGAGCUUAACUCAAGAAGUGCCCCGGAAACGGUGAGACUGGAGUCUCGGAGAGGGUCGUGGAAUUCCCGGUGUAGCGGUGAAAUGCGUAGAGAUCGGGAGGAACACCCGUGGCGAAGGCGGCCAGCUGGGCCGGCCCUGACGCUGAGGCGCGAAGGCGUGGGGAGCAAACAGG
rnacentral:rRNA from 1 species